rnacentral:rRNA from 1 species
AUGCAGUCGCACGAGAACGCUUCAGCUUGCUGAAGUUAGUAAAGUGGCGCACGGGUGAGUAACGCGUGGGUAAUCUACCCCCCGAAUUGGGGAUAACAUCGCGAAAGCGAUGCUAAUACCGAAUGAUAUCUUGAAAACUCUGUUUUCUGGAUCAAAGAUGGCCUCUACAUGUAAGCUAUUGUUUGGGGAUGAGCCCGCGUACCAUUAGCUUGUUGGUAGGGUAAUGGCCUACCAAGGCAACGAUGGUUAGCUGGUCUGAGAGGAUGAUCAGCCACACUGGAACUGACACACGGUCCAGACUCCUACGGGAGGCAGCAGUGAGGAAUUUUGCGCAAUGGGGGAAACCCUGACGCAGCAACGCCGCGUGAGUGAUGAAGGCUUUCGGGUCGUAAAGCUCUGUCAAGUGGGAAGAAACCAUAUGGUGUUAAUAUCGCCAUAUGCUGACGGUACCAUUGAAGGAAGCACCGGCUAACUCCGUGCCAGCAGCCGCGGUAAUACG